rnacentral:rRNA from 1 species
GACGAACGCUGGCGGCGUGCUUAACACAUGCAAGUCGAACGGAAAGGCCCUGCUUUUGUGGGGUGCUCGAGUGGCGAACGGGUGAGUAACACGUGAGUAACCUGCCCUUGACUUUGGGAUAACUUCAGGAAACUGGGGCUAAUACCGGAUAGGAGCUCCUGCUGCAUGGUGGGGGUUGGAAAGUUUCGGCGGUUGGGGAUGGACUCGCGGCUUAUCAGCUUGGUGGUGGGGUAGUGGCUUACCAAGGCUUUGACGGGUAGCCGGCCUGAGAGGGUGACCGGCCACCUUGGGACUGAGAGACGGCCCAGAAUCCUACGGGAGGCAGCAGUGGGGAAUAUUGCACAAUGGGCGGGAGCCUGAUGCAGCAACGCCGCGUGCGGGAUGACGGCCUUUGGGUUGUAAACCGCUUUCGCCUGUGACGAAGCGGGAGUGACGGUAAUGGGUAAAGAAGCACCGGCUAACUACGUG